UACGGAGGGUGCGAGCGUUGUCCGGAAUCACUGGGCGUAAAGGGCGCGUAGGCGGCAGGCCAAGCGUGCGGUGAAAGUCCGGGGCUCGACCCCGGAUCUGCCGUGCGGACUGGUUUGCUAGAGCACUGUAGAGGCGAGUGGAAUUCCGGGUGUAGCGGUGGAAUGCGUAGAGAUCCGGAAGAACACCGGUGGCGAAGGCGGCUCGCUGGGCAGUGGCUGACGCUGAGGCGCGACAGCGUGGGGAGCGAACGGG
rnacentral:rRNA from 1 species